rnacentral:rRNA from 1 species
AAUCAACGCUGGCGGCGUGCCUCAGACAUGCAAGUCGAACGAUUAAGACUUCCUUCGGGAAGUGCAUAAAGUGGCGCACGGGUGAGUAACACGUAAGUAAUCUACCCUCGAGUGGGGAAUAACGUUCGGAAACGAACGCUAAUACCGCAUAACGCAGCGGCACCGCAAGGUGACAGUUGAUAAAGGAGCAAUCCGCAUGAGGAGGAGCUUGCGGCAGAUUAGCUAGUUGGUAAGGUAAUGGCUUACCAAGGCUACGAUCUGUAUCCGGUCUAAGAGGACGGUCGGACACACUGACACUGAAUAACGGGUCAGACUCCUACGGGAGGCAGCAGUCGGGAAUUUUGGGCAAUGGGCGAAAGCCUGACCCAGCAACGCCGCGUGAAGGAUGAAGUAUUUCGGUAUGUAAACUUCGAAAGAAUGGGAAGAAUAAAUGACGGUACCAUUUAUAAGCUCCGGCUAACUACGUGCCAGCCGCCGCAGUAAAAC